UUCAUUUAAAGAGUGCGUAACAGCUCACUAGUCGAGCGAUCCCGCGUGGAUAAUACACGGGCAUCAAACUGUCAACCGAAGCCGUGGGGUUAGCUUGAUGGCUAACCGGUAGGAGAGCAUUCCUGCCAGCUUUGAAGGUCACCCGCGAGAGUGACUGGAGCGGCAUGAAAAGCAAAUGUAGGCAUAAGUAACGAUAAUGGGGGCGAGAACCCCCCACGCCGCAAGACCAAGGAUUCCCCGGCAAUGUCAAUCAGCCGGGGGUCAGCCGGCCUCUAAGGCUCACCCGAAAGGGGAUGCCGACGAGAAACGGGUUAACAUUCCCGUGCUUCUCGUCACCGUGACGCGGUGACGGGGUGAUGAAUGGACCGCGCGCAGACGGAAUAGCGCGUUGAAGGCCGUACCCUUCGAGGGUGGUAGUCAAGCACGCCACCGGAGGCGAGAGCCGAUAGUACCACGAGACCCCGGUCGAGUGGAUAGCGUCCAGGCAAUUUACCCCCUAGAAAACCCGCUAAACUUCAAGUGACGAGGAACCGUACCGUAAACGGACACACGUGGUCGGGUAGAACAUACCAAGGCGCUCGAGUGAUUCAUGGUCAAGGAACUAGGCAAAAUAGUCCUGUAACUUAGGGAUAAAGGACGCUCUAGUGAUAGAGCCGCAGAGAAAUGGCCCAGGCGACUGUUUACCAAAAACACAUGGCUAUGCCAAAUCGAAAGAUGACGUAUAUGGCCUGACACCUGCCCGGUGCCGGAAGGUUAAGAGGAGAGCUCAUCAGUAAUGAGAAGGUUUGAAUUGAAGCCCCGGUAAACGGCGGCCGUAACUAUAACGGUCCUAAGGUAGCGAAAUUCCUUGUCGGGUAAGUUCCGACCUGCACGAAUGGUGUAACGAUCUGGGCACUGUCUCGACCAUGAGCUCGGUGAAAUUGUAGUUCCGGUGAAGAUGCCGGGUACCCGCGACGGGACGGAAAGACCCCGUGAACCUUUACUGCAGCUUCGCGUUGUUCCCGGGCACGGGACGUGUAGGAUAGGUCGGAGGCUACGAUUCGGUUUCGCCAGGAAUCGAGGAGCCAUCGUUGAAAUACGACCCUUCUCUUGUCUGGGAUCUAACCCUAGGUACAGGGGACACCGCGUGGUGGGUAGUUUGACUGGGGUGGUCGCCUCCAAAAGCGUAACGGAGGCUUCCAAAGGUACCCUCGGGUUGGUUGGUAAUCAACCUCAGAGUGCAAUGGCACAAGGGUGCUUGACCGGGAGACCAACGAGUCGAUCGGGUGCGAAAGCAGGGCAUAGUGAUCCGGUGAUCCCGCGUGGAAGGGUCAUCGCUCAAAGGAUAAAAGGUACUCCGGGGAUAACAGGCU
rnacentral:rRNA from 1 species